rnacentral:rRNA from 1 species
ACUGAACGCUGGCGGCAUGCUUUACACAUGCAAGUCGAACGGUAACAGGCCGCAAGGUGCUGACGAGUGGCGAACGGGUGAGUAAUGCAUCGGAACGUGCCCAGUCGGGGGGGAUAACGCAGCGAAAGCUGUGCUAAUACCGCAUACGAUCUACGGAUGAAAGCGGGGGACCGUGAGGCCUCGCGCGAUUGGAGCGGCCGAUGUCAGAUUAGGUAGUUGGUGGGGUAAAGGCUCACCAAGCCGACGAUCUGUAGCUGGUCUGAGAGGACGACCAGCCACACUGGGACUGAGACACGGCCCAGACUCCUACGGGAGGCAGCAGUGGGGAAUUUUGGACAAUGGGCGCAAGCCUGAUCCAGCAAUGCCGCGUGCAGGAAGAAGGCCUUCGGGUUGUAAACUGCUUUUGUACGGAACGAAAAGGCUCUGGUUAAUACCUGGGGCUCAUGACGGUACCGUAAGAAUAGGCACCGGCUAACUACGUGCCAGCAGCCGCGGUAACAC